UGGCUCAGUAACACGUGGAGAAUCUAACCUUUGGUGGAGGAUAAUCUCGGGAAACUGAGAAUAAUACUCCAUAAACAUAGGAUGCUGGGAUGCUUCUAUGUUGAAAGGCAACGCCAAAGGAUGACUCUGCGACCUAUCAGGCUGUAGUGAGUGUAAUGGACUCACUAACCUGCAACGGGUACGGGUGUUGGAAGACAUUGCCCAGAGAUGGACUCUGAGACAUGAGUCCAGGUUCUACGGAACGCAGCAGGCGCGAAAACUCCGCAAUGUACGAAAGUACGACGGGGGAAUUCUGAGUGCUUACGCCUUGCGUAGGCUGUUUUCUUGUCUAAAAAACAAGGAGAGUAAGGGCUGGGUAAGACGGGUGCCAUCUCGUGCAAUUCUGCACUUAUUGUGUUCGUUGCACGAAGCACAAGCCGCCGCGGUAAUACCCGCGGCCCGAGUGGUGCUCAUUAUUAUUGAGCCUAAAACGUCCGUAGCCGGUUUAAUAAAUUCUUGGGUAAAUCAUAUCGCUUAACGAUAUGAAUUCUGAGAACACUGCUAAACUCGGGAAUGGGAGAGGCCAGAGGUACUUUCAGGGUAGGGGUAAAAUCCCGUAAUCCUGAGAGGACCACCGGUGGCGAAGGCGUCUGGCUAGAACAUAUUCGACGGUAAGGGACGAAGCCCUGGGGCGCAAACGGGAUUAGAUACCCCGGUAGUCCAGGGUGUAAACGCUGUAGAUUUGGUGUUGGAAAUCCUACGGGGAUUCCCAGUGCCGGAGAGAAGUUGUUAAAUCUACUGCUUGGGGAGUACGGUCGCAAGACUGAAACUUAAAGGAAUUGGCGGGGGAGCACCGCAACGGGUGGAGCGUGCGGUUUAAUUGGAUUCAACGCCGAGAAACUCACCGGGGGCGACCAUUAUAUGAAGG
rnacentral:rRNA from 1 species